GGAUGAGUUGAGGAUUUGCGGCAGAGAGUGAUAAACGGCCUUUUGAAAAGGCCAACUGUUGUGGAACUUGAACAUAAGGCGAGAAGCUUGCAUGAGGAUAUAACUAAACAUUGGAUUGCAAGGGAGCUGGUUUCAUUACAAAACCGCAUUGAUAGAGCAAAUGAGAAGGGAUGGAGGAGAGAA